rnacentral:rRNA from 1 species
CCUACGGGUGGCUUCAAACCAAGUGACGGCAUGGCUGGACUGGCCUUGCUGCAGACUCAGCAGCCCUAGGGUGUAGCUGGCCUCGGGGUGAUGCGGGUCUAGUGCCAAAACUUGAUGACAGGCCUGUUCCGCCUCGGCAAAACAACCGGAGGCGAGGCGCGUCUGUGCAUAGUGCAAAAGCGUAUCGGGUGACAUAGCAAAACCACUUCAUAUCUGGGCAGGAGGAAGGAAAAAGUGUACGAGAUUCCUUGCCCAUCGUCUGACAAAAACAACCUCGCCCAUACCGCCCUCCCCAUCCAAACCCGCGUGCUGGUUGACGGUAAAGAAGCAUAUCGGCUACAAAGCGGGGAUAGUUUUAUCUGGGUUCUGCGCCCCCCAAUCGCACAACCAUUCCUUGUCUACCCUCCCAUUAAGGCUGUGUCAUGUCAGAUACCCUUGUAGUC